AGUGAACGCUGGCGGUAGGCCUAACACAUGCAAGUCGAACGGCAGCACAGUAAGAGCUUGCUCUUACGGGUGGCGAGUGGCGGACGGGUGAGGAAUACAUCGGAAUCUACUUUUUCGUGGGGGAUAACGUAGGGAAACUUACGCUAAUACCGCAUACGACCUACGGGUGAAAGCAGGGGAUCUUCGGACCUUGCGCGAUUGAAUGAGCCGAUGUCGGAUUAGCUAGUUGGCGGGGUAAAGGCCCACCAAGGCGACGAUCCGUAGCUGGUCUGAGAGGAUGAUCAGCCACACUGGAACUGAGACACGGUCCAGACACCGACGGGAGGCAGCAGUGGGGAAUAUUGGACAAUGGGCGCAAGCCUGAUCCAGCCAUACCGCGUGGGUGAAGAAGGCCUUCGGGUUGUAAAGCCCUUUUGUUGGGAAAGAAAAGCAGCAGGUUAAUACCCCGCUGUUCGGACGGUACCCAAAGAAUAAGCACCGGCUAACUUCGU
rnacentral:rRNA from 1 species